GCUUAACUGGCUCAGAUGGUAGAGAGUCCGCCUGUAAUGCAGGAGACCCAGGUUCAAUCCCUGGGUCGGGAA
rnacentral:tRNA from 1 species